AUCACCUAGGAUUCUUGUUAAAAUGCAGAUUCUAAUUCAUAAGUUCAGAUGUUGGCCUGAGAUUCUGCAUUUGUAACAAGUUUUCAGGUGAUGCUGA
rnacentral:pre_miRNA from 1 species